AACGAACGCUGGCGGUGUGCUUAACACAUGCAAGUCGAACGAGAACGUUUCCUUCGGGAAGCUAGUAAAGUGGCGCAAGGGUGAGUAACACGUGAAUAAUCUGCCCUCGAGAUCGGGAUAACUUGGCGAAAGCUUUGGCUAAUACCGGAUAAGACCACGUUUCACAGGGAAUGUGGAAAAAGGAGUCUCAACCUUCACUCGAGGAUGAGUUCGCGGACCAUUAGCUUGUUGGUGAGAUAAAAGCUCACCAAGGCUACGAUGGAUAGCCGGCCUGAGAGGGUGAUCGGCCACACUGGAACUGAGACACGGUCCAGACUCCUACGGGAGGCAGCAGUGGGGAAUAUUGCGCAAUGGGCGGAAGCCUGACGCAGCAACACCGUGUGAGCGAUG
rnacentral:rRNA from 1 species